rnacentral:rRNA from 1 species
UCAAGCGAACAAGGGCGCAGGGCGAAUGCCUUGGCACUGGGAGCCGAUGAAAGACGUGAUAAGCUGCGAUAAGCUUCGGGGAGCUGCAAAUAAGCAUUGAUCCGGAGAUUUCUGAAUGAGGAAACUCACCUGGGUUCAUACUCAGGUACGUUAUACUGAACUUCAAAAUAGGUAUAUCGAGGGAACCGCCUGAACUGAAACAUCUAAGUAGGGCGAGGAAGAGACAUCAAACGAGAUUCCGUAAGUAGUGGCGAGCGAACGCGGAAGAGGGCAAACCGAGAGUAGAAAUACUUUCGGGGUACGGACUGCUUUUAGGACUUAAUCUGUUAACCGAACGGCAUGGGAAGGCCGGUCAGAGAGUGUGAGAACCACGUAGGUGAAAACGGAGAGAGCUGCGCAGGAUCCAGAGUACGGCCAGACACGUGAAACCUGGUCGGAAUACGGGGGGACCACCCUCCAACCCUAAAUACUACCCAGUGACCGAUAGCGUAUAGUACUGUGAAGGAAAGGUGAAAAGCACCCCGGGAGGGGAGUGAAAAAGAACCUGAAACCCUGUGCCUACAAGCACCUAGAGCGCGUCAAUGCGUGAUAGGGUACUUUUUGUAGAACGGUCCGGCGAGCGAUUGUAUGCAGCAAGGUUAAGGACUUAAGGUCUGGAGCCGAAGCGAAAGCGAGUUUGAAAAGGGCGUUAAGUUGCAUAUAAUGGGCCCGAAACCGGGUGACCUACCCAUGGUCAGGUUGAAGUGGAAGUAAAAUUCCAUGGAGGACCGAACCGACCUCCGUUGAAAAGGCGGCGGAUGAACUGUGGGUAGCGGAGAAAUUCCAAUCGAACCCGGAGAUAGCUGGUUCUCCCCGAAAUAGUUUUAGGACUAGCCUCAAGUUAGAUACCUGGAGGUAAAGCACUGAAUAGCCUAGCGGCCGAGAGGUUAGCGAAGCUUAUCAAACUCAGAAUGCCAGAGUAUUGAUGCUUGGGAGUCAGACAGUGUCAGAUAAAUGUCAUUGUCAAAAGGGAAACAGCCCAGAUCUACAGCUAAGGUCCCAAAGUCAGGUUAAGUGGAAAACGAUGUGAAGAUACGUAGACAACCAGGAUGUUGGCUCAGAAGCAGCCACUCAUUCAAAGAGUGCGUAAUAGCUCACUGGUCGAGCGUCUUUGCGCGGAGAAUUUAACGGGGCUAAACCUGACACCGAAGCUUAGGCAGCAUGAUUACAUGCUGGGUAGGGGAGCGUUGUAUACGCGGUGAAACAGUAGCGCAAGCGGCUGUGGAGUGUAUAGAAGUGAGAAUGCCGGAAUGAGUAGCGCGAAUGCAGUGAGAAUCUGCAUGGCCGAAAGCCUCAGGUUUCUGGAGGAAGGUUCGUCCGCUCCAGGUUAGUCGGGAGCUAAGGUGAGGCCUAACGGCGUAGCCGAUGCACAGACGGUAGAGAUUCCGUCACCACCAAAAGAGUUAAACACAGGGACACAUAUGAAGUCUCGGAGCCGGGUGUUGGUUCCGGUAGCGAUCGAGGGAAGUUAGUACCGAAGUCCGGGAUGGAAGAUGGCGAGAAAAGCUGUGUGAAUUUCUGCGGUGCCCGUACCGCAAACCGACACAGGUAGGUAGGAAGAAGAUUCUAAGGCCAACGGGAGAAGGGUUGUUAAGGAACUCGGCAAAUUGACCCCGUAACUUCGGGAGAAGGGGUGCUCCAGAGAUGGAGCCGCAGAGAAUCGGCCCAAGCAACUGUUUACCAAAAACACAGGUUUGUGCUAAAUCGAAAGAUGACGUAUACGAGCUGACGCCUGCCCGGUGCUGGAAGGUUAAGAGGAGAUGUGCAAGCAUUGAAUCGAAGCCCCAGUGAACGGCGGCCGUAACUAUAACGGUCCUAAGGUAGCGAAAUUCCUUGUCAGGUAAGUUCUGACCCGCAUGAAAGGCGUAAUGAUUUGGGCACUGUCUC